UUUUACAGCUUGUUGUCAGUAAAUCCGGAGACAGAUAUGGAAUCGUAUAACACCGCGGGAGCAACUUCCUCGUCCAACGGCCAGUAUGAUAUGGUGAUACUGGACAACGGCAAUGCGCAAAGUGUACUGUUCACCUACACACCCCAUUAACCCAUUUCAGAUGGUAGUACAUCGUAAAUAACAUUGUUAAAAACUAAUGUGUUAGUUUGUACUAAUUAUUACAUCCG